UACCUGGUUGAUCCUGCCAGUAGUCAUAUGCUUGUCUCAAAGAUUAAGCCAUGCAAGUCUAAGUACGAGCUCUCGUACAGUGAAACUGCGAAUGGCUCAUUAAAUCAGUUAUGGUUCAUUUGAUCGUACAGUUUACUUGGAUAACUGUGGUAAUUCUAGAGCUAAUACAUGCGAGAAGCGCCGACCUCGCGGGAGGCGUGCAUUUAUCAGACCAAAAACCGGCCGCGUCUUCGGGCGCGUUCGCCUUGGUGACUCUGGAUAACUUUGCGGAUCGCACGGUCUAGCACCGGCGACGGAUCAUUCAAGUGUCUGCCCUAUCAACUUUCGUCGGUACGGUAUUUGCCUACCGAGGUUCUUACGGGUGACGGGGAAUCAGGGUUCGAUUCUGGAGAGGGAGCCUGAGAAACGGCUACCACAUCCCAGGAAGGCAGCAGGCGCGC
rnacentral:ncRNA from 1 species